UACGAAGGGGGCGAGCGUUGUUCGGAAUCACUGGGCGUAAAGGGCGCGUAGGCGGCGACCCAAGUCAGAUGUGAAAGUCCUGGGCUUAACCUGGGGACUGCAUUUGAUACUGGGUUGCUUGAAUUCGGGAGAGGGUAGCGGAAUUCCCAGUGUAGAGGUGAAAUGCGUUGAUAUCAGAAGGAACGCCGGCGGCGAAAGCGGCGCACUGGACCUUUUCUGACGCUGAUGCGCGAAAGCCAGGGGAGCAAACGGG
rnacentral:rRNA from 1 species